rnacentral:rRNA from 1 species
UGAAGUAACAAAUGCCCUGCUUCCAGGAAAAGCCUCUAAGCAUCAGGUAACAUCAAAUCGUACCCCAAACCGACACAGGUGGUCAGGUAGAGAAUACCAAGGCGCUUGAGAGAACUCGGGUGAAGGAACUAGGCAAAAUGGUGCCGUAACUUCGGGAGAAGGCACGCUGGUGUGUAGGUGAAGUCCCUGCGGAUGGAGCUGAGACCAGUCGAAGAUACCAGCUGGCUGCAACUGUUUAUUAAAAACACAGCACUGUGCAAACACGAAAGUGGACGUAUACGGUGUGACGCCUGCCCGGUGCCGGAAGGUUAAUUGAUGGGGUUAUCCGUAAGGAGAAGCUCUUGAUCGAAGCCCCGGUAAACGGCGGCCGUAACUAUAACGGUCCUAAGGUAGCGAAAUUCCUUGUCGGGUAAGUUCCGACCUGCACGAAUGGCGUAAUGAUGGCCAGGCUGUCUCCACCCGAGACUCAGUGAAAUUGAACUCGCUGUGAAGAUGCAGUGUACCCGCGGCAAGACGGAAAGACCCCGUGAACCUUUACUAUAGCUUGACACUGAACAUUGAGCCUUGAUGUGUAGGAUAGGUGGGAGGCUUUGAAGCGUGGACGCCAGUCUGCGUGGAGCCAACCUUGAAAUACCACCCUUUAAUGUUUGAUGUUCUAACGUUGGCCCCUUACCGGGGUUGCGGACAGUGUCUGGUGGGUAGUUUGACUGGGGCGGUCUCCUCCCAAAGCGUAACGGAGGAGCACGAAGGUUAGCUAAUCCUGGUCGGACAUCAGGAGGUUAGUGCAAUGGCAUAAGCUAGCUUGACUGCGAGCGUGACGGCGCGAGCAGGUGCGAAAGCAGGUCAUAGUGAUCCGGUGGUUCUGAAUGGAAGGGCCAUCGCUCAACGGAUAAAAGGUACUCCGGGGAUAACAGGCUGAUACCGCCCAAGAGUUCAUAUCGACGGCGGUGUUUGGCACCUCGAUGUCGGCUCAUCACAUCCUGGGGCUGAAGUAGGUCCCAAGGGUAUGGCUGUUCGCCAUUUAAAGUGGUACGCGAGCUGGGUUUAGAACGUCGUGAGACAGUUCGGUCCCUAUCUGCCGUGGGCGCUGGAGAAUUGAGGGGGGCUGCUCCUAGUACGAGAGGACCGGAGUGGACGCAUCACUGGUGUUCGGGUUGUCAUGCCAAUGGCACUGCCCGGUAGCUAAAUGCGGAAGAGAUAAGUGCUGAAAGCAUCUAAGCACGAAACUUGCCCCGAGAUGAGUUCUCCCUGAGACUUUAAGUCUCCUGAAGGAACGUUAAAGACGAUGACGUUGAUAGGCCGGGUGUGUAAGCGCAGCGAUGCGUUGAGCUAACCGGUACUAAUGAACCGUGAGGCUUAACCUU